rnacentral:rRNA from 1 species
UUGAACGCUGGCGGCAGGCCUAGCACAUGCAAGUCGAGCGCGAAAGUUCUUCGGAAUGAGUAAAGCGGCGGACGGGUGAGUAACGCGUGGGAAUCUGCCUAGUAGUGGGGGACAACAGCCGGAAACGGCUGCUAAUAUCGCAUACGCCCUACGGGGAAAAGGGGGGGCUCUUCGGACCUCUCGCUAUUAGAUGAGCCCGCGUCGGAUUAGCUAGUGGGUAGGGUAAAGGCCUACCAAGGCUACGAUCCGUAACUGGUCUGGGAGGAUGAUCAGUCACACUGGAACUGAGACACGGUCCAGACUCCUACGGGAGGCAGCAGUGGGGAAUAUUGGACAAUGGGGGCAACCCUGAUCCAGCCAUGCCGCGUGUGUGAAGAAGGCCUUAGGGUUGUAAAGCACUUUCAGUGGGGAGAAAGGUUUGUCACCUAAUACGUGAUGAAAUUGAUGUUACCCACAGAAGAAGCACCGGCUAACUCCGUGCCAGCCGCCGCCGUAA